rnacentral:rRNA from 1 species
GAUGAACGCUGGCGGCGUGCCUAAUACAUGCAAGUCGAGCGAACGGACGAGAAGCUUGCUUCUCUGAUGUUAGCGGCGGACGGGUGAGUAACAUGUGGAUAACCUACCUAUAAGACUGGGAUAACUUCGGGAAACCGGAGCUAAUACCGGAUAAUAUUUUGAACCGCAUGGUUCAAAAGUGAAAGACGGUCUUGCUGUCACUUAUAGAUGGAUCCGCGCUGCAUUAGCUAGUUGGUAGGGAACCGCUUACCAAAGCAAAGAUGCAUAGCCGACCUGAGAGGGUGAUCAGCCCCACUAGAACUUAGACACGGUCCAGACUCCUACGGGAGGCAGCAGUAGGGAAUCUUCCGCAAUGGGCGAAAGCCUGACGGAGCAACGCCGCGUGAGUGAUGAAGGUCUUCGGAUCGUAAAACUCUGUUAUUAGGGAAGAACAUAUGUGUAAGUAACUAUGCACAUCUUGACGGUACCUAAUCAGAAAGCCACGGCUAACUACGUG